UGCACAAAUAACGAUUUAAGACAUUAGAGUAUUAAAAAAGUUUAUGCUAUAAAAACAAUUGUUUUACAUUAUACGUGUAAAUAAAUGGAGAACUUACCAGCAAAAAGAAGUUAUGAAGAUGAUGAUACUACAUCGAAUUCGAAAGAAAGAAAAAAGCUUAAUACUAGUCGGUACUUAACCUAUGACGUUUUAAGAAUUGUAUUUAAAUAUUUGAAUGGAAUGGAACUAUCGAACGCUUCAAUGGUUUGCAGGUGUGGAAACGUUCAUUAUUUAUAUAAAGUUCUUAUAUUUUAAAUGAAAGAAAAAUUAUUUAUUCGUCGUAGAAGUCUACCCAGUCGAGAGAUAAACAUUUAACAAAAAUCUUGGUUAGAAGUGGCAAAUGAUGAAAAACGAACAAGGGGGGGUCCUAUCUGUUUUAUAGAAAAUUUAGAAAUGGGUGUAGAAUAUUUUAAUAUUCAAAUUACCGAAAAAUUAAGAAUCAAGCCAACAUUAGGAUUAAUAUUUAAAGCUCCACGUAGAUUAUAUAGUAAACAAGAUUGCCAUUGUAAAAUACUUCCAAAAAAUUGUGAUGCAAUAACACUUGCCACAUUUGGUAUACUUAUCAAUGAUAAAGAAAUGGAAAGUGCUUUAGAUAAUAUUGUAUGUGCAUUUUUACCUGAAAUACCAGAUGUAACAAUCACAAUUGUUGCAUUUUCAAAAUAUAAGGUACAACAUUAUAGACGAAUGAAAAAAGCUCUUAGCAGACAUGGAGCUAAUGGAUCUAAAUGUCUUUUAUUAUUUUGUAAUCAAAGAGGUCGUGCUUUAGCACAAACAGCUGCAGGAGAAUUACAAUUAUGUAACAAAACAGUUAAACCUUCUGUAUGGGGAGGUGUAGUUAAGGAUUUAUAUGUGUAUAAUUCAAAAAAUCCUACAAGUGAUGAUUAUGUUCGAUUUGCAUUUUGUGUUGGAAUUACUAUAGUUGGAUCAGUAGAUUCAUGGUCUAUAGUUAUGGAUGAAAGUUAUAAAACUAAAGAAUUAGUUGAACAGAGAUUAAAAUUGUUUAAAAGUCAUAUUUCUCUAAAAAAACAUUCCAUGGGUUUUAUGUUUGCGUGUUGUGAACGUGGAGAAAAUAUGUUUAAUGAACGAAAUGUGGAAUCAUCUAUUUUCAAAAAAUUAUUUCCAGACAUACCAUUAGUAGGAUGUUUUGGUGAUGGAGAAUUCGGAGAAACUACAAUACCAACUAAAAGUUUUAAUGAUAAAAAAAAUUUCUGGUACCACGAGAGAUCAACCGUUUUUUUGAUAAUUACUUAUGGUUAAAAUUCAUAAUCUAUAAUAAACAAAAAUCUGAAUCUCUUUAAAAUUAAUUGAGAUAAUAUCUUUGAAUUAAAACGUAUAUGAUAUACGUGAAAUCGCGAACUAUAAUAUACAAAGUCUACAAGUGUGAUUUAAUUGUGAGAAAAAAAUGUGUUUUGUAACGAUUUAUGUUAAUAUAUUUUACGUUCGUAUAAAUCAUUUUAUAUUUCUCUUUAAUUUACUUCGUAAAAAAAAGAAAUCUUUUUGCUUUUUAUUUAUCUUAAAAGAAAUGGAUGGCUUCCUGAAUAAUGAAUAAAACAAUUUAAAAAUGAUUAUCAGUAUGGAGAACGACAAUUCUAUUUAAUAUCACAUAUGCGUUACUGUUUCAACGCGAUAAUAUGAAAAUACUAAGCAUAUCCAACAGAUAAGUGGGUAAAAAUCUACACUUUUUUGAAUACAAUUAUAAUGUUUAAGGCAUUGUUAAACAACCACUUGAUAGUAUUUCCGCACAUCCGAGAUUGGAAUAAAGAUAAAAUAAAGGAAACUAGGCCAUGUAAGAGAUUGUUUAUAUUUAUGUGAUAUUGUGAGGGUUUAUAAAAAGGUUGUUUUAAAAUUUUCGUCACCUAAGUAAGACAACUAGGAUUUAUAAGUAUUUCCGUAUUGAAAAUUUUUUUAUCGCAUAUGAGUUUUUAAUUUUUUUAAUAUCAAAUAGUGUCUUUAAAUGUAAAACAAUGAUUACACUAAAUGUAUUGAUAUAUUUCAUAGUAUUAGUUUUUUUAUUUAAUUUUACGAUUUCCAAAACAUGGAAUAGUAAUUUGCAACAAAGAUACGAUGGAUAUGGUCGGGAUUGGAUUUUUAUGCCUGAUGGAAAUGAUCAACCGCAGGUUGCAGUACUAAAACGCACAGAAGAUGAACGAGACAUUUUUGAUGAAUCAGAAAUAUCUUUUAUUCUUUAUACUAGAUAUGGUUCUAAAAAUGGUACUCAGUUAUAUACGAACGAUACAAAAGGACUACAAAAUUCUAAUUUUGAUCCAUCUCGACAAACGAAGUUUAUAACGCAUGGAUGGAAAUCGAGUGCAAUGAGUACUAAUAUCGCCAAUUUGAAAGAUGGUAUUACAACAAUAAAAAUUUGAAAAUGUAAUUUAAUGUAAAAUCUAUACAUAUUUCACAAUUUUUUAUAAUUAUAUAGAAUAUUUAAAAUAUAAUGAUUACAAUAUCAUUAUGGUUGAUUGGCAACCUUUGGCUGCAAGCACAUUUUAUCUUGGACCAAUACAAAAUACAAAACUGGUAGGAAAAGUAGCUGCUAAAUUUAUCGAUUUUUUAGCUGCAGAAACAGGUCUUGAAACUGAAAAUAUUCAUUUUCUUGGUAUACAAUAUUAUUAAUUUGAAUUAAAAAUAUUAUUAUAGUUUUUUAUAUUUUGAUUAUUAUUAUACAAAGGGCAUUCUCUUGGAGCGCAUGUAGCUGGUAAUACA